rnacentral:tRNA from 1 species
AUUUAUAUAGUUUAAAUCUAAAACAUUACAUUUUCAUUGUAAUAAUAAAAUUAUUUAUUUUUAUAAAUA